rnacentral:rRNA from 1 species
GAUGAACGCUGGCGGCGUGCCUAAUACAUGCAAGUCGAGCGAACAGACGAGGAGCUUGCUCCUCUGACGUUAGCGGCGGACGGGUGAGUAACACGUGGAUAACCUACCUAUAAGACUGGGAUAACUUCGGGAAACCGGAGCUAAUACCGGAUAAUAUAUUGAACCGCAUGGUUCAAUAGUGAAAGACGGUUUUGCUGUCACUUAUAGAUGGAUCCGCGCCGCAUUAGCUAGUUGGUAAGGUAACGGCUUACCAAGGCAACGAUGCGUAGCCGACCUGAGAGGGUGAUCGGCCACACUGGAACUGAGACGCGGUCCAGACUCCUGAGGGAGGCAGCAGUAGGGAAUCGUCCGCAAUGGGCGAAAGCCUGACGGAGCAGCGCCGCGUGAGUGAUAAAGGUCUUCGGAGCGUAAAACUCGGUUAUUAGGGAAGAACAAAUGUGUAAGUAACUAUGCACGUCUUGACGGUACCUAAUCAGAAAGCCACGGCUAACUACGUG